rnacentral:lncRNA from 1 species
UAUACAUGAUGCUCGAAGCGGUUUUCUCUUCGACAAUUUUAGGUAAUAAGUUCAAUUGGAAAGUUAACAUCGAGAAAAUUUUAUUUUUGUAUUCGGUAUCUCUGUGGAGAAACGAGAAACUUGAGAAUCUUCCCUCGUGCUUUGUUAUCAAGGAAAUCUCGAUCCUCGCAAACAAUUACGCUAAUCGAAACGUUCCGUCUAUCUAUUGUCUUACUAGUCACAGUUGGUACUUUCAGUUGACAAAUGAGCCGCGAAUGUUUAAUUACAAACCGGUUUGCGACACGUACAACGCGCUAUUUGUAAGGAGGAUUCGUGGAGAGAGGAAAGAGUCCAAGAUGAGAUCCACUGAGGCUGUUAAAUUCAACUAGAUAGAACGGGUAGAAAAUUCGAGUCGUUCACGGUCGAAAACGCGUCGCACGACACUCGACACGCGCUCCAUUUUAUACGCUGGAGGAUAGCUAGGAACCGUAACCUUUUGUUUGUAACGAUUCUCGGCUCGAAGCCGCAAAAUUCUCUCGUCCUUUAAUUCGACGAGACGAGUGAUUUUCUCUGCGAGGAAAGGAAAGGAGAUUAAUCGGAGGACAGAAUCGUCGAAUAACAACAAUAAUAUAUGGCGGAUUAAAAACGGUGCUUGUCUCGACGGAAUGCGGGUAACGCGAGAUCGGGCCAGAUGGCGUUUCUGCACACGCUCGCAUCGUGUCGCAUAACACGAGCCAGCCAUCUUUGCCGCCCCGCCAUCUGGGAGGAUUCGGUUUUCUCUUUACAGAGACGUGUCCUUACGAGAGCAUUCCUCGUAGAUUCGUGUUCACGUUCGUGUUUGCACGUUGGAAUCUCGUUUUAGACCGGAGAUUUUCGCGAGAGAAAAUCUGGAGAAAAACGAUCCAUUGGGAUCGUUGACGAAAUUCAGAUAUUCGGUUAAUCCUGUUCUCGACAAUUUCUUUGUUUGAGUUAUUACGCGAAUAAUUUCCAGAUCGUGGAAAAACGCGAAUUGUCGAUGAAUCUUGUGUUAAAUCGAACGAGACAACUUGUAGCAGAGGGAACAUUGAAUUUCUAUUCGAAAGAAAGAGAAUUUUAAUGAAAACGAAUUUUAUGAUACGGAGUGAAAGUAUGAUUUUUUAUUUCAUAAGAAAGAAAAAGAAUACGUAAUUUGUGGGCAAGUGUUGAAUCGUAAAAGUAUUCUAAGCGUCACUCAAAAGUACAGAGGUCACGUAUAUAACUAUAAAAACGUAAAAUUUUCUGUUCGAAGAUAUUAAAGGUUACAAAGGAAUCUCACGCGAGUGAAAGUGUAAAAAUUUCGAUAUUAAUUAUCGAAUAAUCGAACAAAGAGAUAUUUUCGGCAUUCAUUUAAAGAUUACAAGGAUCGUGUAAAAGAUCCUUGGUUCCCCUCCCCUUCUUCCUUUCCAUUCGAAGGAAAAUAUUAAAAACGAAUCUCGCGACACGAUAGGGAACGAAAGUUUCACGAUUUCAUUUUCGGUCGAAAUUGAAAAUGUCGAAAUAGGUAGGAUUAUUAAACGAAUAUAAUUGAUCGAAAUCGACGGUGGAAAUAUUAUUCAAAGGUCAUCCUCGAGGUUCGAGCCCGCUUCGGCAAAAUUACUCGUUGAAUUAUUUAAUUCCGAGCAUCGUUUUCGCGGCGAAUACCUGUCGCUUCCCCUCCGAAUACCGUUGAAAACAAUUCGAGCCGGCGUAUCAGAGAUGUCCCGCCAUUUCAAAAAUGAACGAAUCAACGAUUGGUCGAGCAGCAGAUAGGUUAUGCGAUACAACCGUGAAAAUCGGCCGAUGGAAUUCCCUCGACGAAUUUAGAGCGAAAUUUCUCGAAUCACGUAUUUCCCUUGCAAUUACGCGCGUACACAGGCUGUGUCGCUUUGAAAUAUCUCCACGUGUAUAUCUCUUUUCGGUUCGUUAGCGUUGAUCAUUAUACUUGGCAAGCACGUUCGUUCCCCGGCUUAACGUUAUAAUUCGAUAACAAGGCAAGCAACAUUUGCUAAUAACGUUAAAGGGGGAGCCUUUAUACCCGUGGUCAUUCAGCCACGGGUUUCUGUAUCGAUAUUAGCGAGGAACCACGUCGGUUUAUCGUGUCAAUUUUCGAUCGUUUCCUUCCCGAGAAAUUCUACGCGACGUCUAUUAACCAGAAUAUUGGAGAGUGGCACCAUCUUUCGUGCCAUCGCGAAGAGUGUCGUGAACGCUGAACGCGCAAUUAAAGUCCGUUCGAUUCGCCCGUGCGGUACGAAAGUUUUAUUUUAUUAUUUAUUUAUAUUCAAUUAGCAGUGAUUGAAUUCAAUUAAUUCUCCGGUCAUUAAAAUAUCAACGAAUUAUAAAUCGCAUGACAGUAGUGUAAUCGUGCGACGACGAAACUAUCUAUCGCGCGAUUGGUAGUUCAUUUUUGUUAUUGGACAAGUUUAUUCCUCGUUAUUGCCAUUUUAUCGAAAAUAGAGGUGCACUUUGUUGUUCACUUUCGAAUCUUUAUUUUAGACGAAUUGUCCGAUAUUUGCAUUUAAAGUCCUGUGUCUACCUAAUCCAGAGAUAUAGGUUAUGUUAGGUUAGAUUAUCGCAAUAGCUCCGUUCAAUCAACGUUUCAGAUAGUAACACGUUAUCGAAUGAGCACAAACGUCGUGUAAACUCGAAACAACAUCGCUAUUACGCGAGUUUACGUACACGUCGAGGCGAAGCGUGGCCUGAUAUGAGCAAAAUGCACAGACCAUCGUGUGUUUGAACGAAUAAUCGAAAAACAGGGCUCUUUUCUGUUACUCUCGACAAGGACGCUGCCGUCACGCGACCGCAUUUGUUGCCAAUACCAGGUUAUUUUCCGUGCAUUUCCAGUUACAACGAGACAGUAGCAGAGAUUAACGGUCGACCGUUUCCUCGUAACGUCGAGAGAAUUCAGAAAGAAUCGUCCAUUAAUAUUUCGGCAAUGUGUUCCGUCGGCCAGAUCGAGCGAACUCUCUCAACGAAAAUACUCUCGUUUCCUCUCGAAUGCUCGCUUAACGCGAAUCUCGUUUCGCCGCGAAAAAGAAAGCAGAAGGCUCGAAAUUGGCGUCAUUAAGUCGGCCGGUGCGGAGCGUGCAUGCAAUUAACUCGAGUGUUCUCGUUAAAGAUGCUCAAAGAGUCCGGUUUCGAUUGUUACGUUAAUUGGAUCAAAAAAAAAAAAGAAAAGAAAUAAAAGAAAAUAAAAGAUC